UACGAAGGGGGCUAGCGUUGCUCGGAAUCACUGGGCGUAAAGCGCACGUAGGCGGCUUUCUAAGUCAGGGGUGAAAUCCUGGAGCUCAACUCCAGAACUGCCUUUGAUACUGGAAAGCUUGAGUUCGGGAGAGGGUGAGUGGAACUGCGAGUGUAGAGGUGAAAUUCGUAGAUAUUCGCAAGAACACCUGUGGCGAAGGCGGCUCACUGGCCCGAUACUGACGCUGAGGUGCGAAAGCGUGGGGA
rnacentral:rRNA from 1 species